rnacentral:rRNA from 1 species
CACAAUGGGCGCAAGCCUGAUGCAGCCAUGCCGCGUGUAUGAAGAAGGCCUUCGGGUUGUAAAGUACUUUCAGCAGUGAGGAAGGUGGGUAUGUUAAUAGCAUAUUCAUUUGACGUUAGCUGCAGAAGAAGCACCGGCUAACUCCGUGCCAGCAGCCGCGGUAAUACGGAGGGUGCGAGCGUUUAAUCGGAAUUACUGGGCGUAAAGCGCAUGCAGGUGGUUUGUUAAGUCAGAUGUGAAAGCCCGGGGCUCAACCUCGGAAUUGCAUUUGAAAACUGGCAAACUAGAGUACUGUAGAGGGGGUAGAAUUUCAGGUGUAGCGGUGAAAUGCGUAGAGAUCUGAAGGAAUACCGGUGGCGAAGGCGGCCCCCUCGGACAGAUACUGACACUCAGAUGCGAAAGCGUGGGGAGCAAACAGGAUUAGAUACCCUGGUAG